AUUGAACGCUGGCGGCGUGCUUAACACAUGCAAGUCGAUCGGUAACGCGGGGGCAACCCUGGCGACGAGAGGCGGACGGGUGAGGAACGCUUGGGAAUCUGCCUAUCAGCGGGGGACAACACGGGGAAACUCGUGCUAAUACCGCAUACGCUCUACGGAGGAAAGCCGGGGACCGCAAGGCCUGGCACUGAUAGAUGAGCCCAAGCCGGAUUAGCUAGUUGGCGGGGUAACGGCCCACCAAGGCGAGGAUCCGUAGCUGGUCUGAGAGGACGGGAAGCCACACUGGAACUGGGACACGGACCAGACUCCUACGGGAGGCAGCAGUGGGGAAUAUUGGACAAUGGGGGAAACCCUGAUCCAGCGACGCCGCGUGGGUGAAGAAGGCCUGCGGGUUGUAAAGCCCUUUCGGUAGGGACGAAAGCUCUCGACCUAACACGUCGGGAGGUUGACUUAACCUACAGAAGAAGCACCGGCUAACUCUGUGCCAGCAGCCGCCGUAAGAC
rnacentral:rRNA from 1 species